rnacentral:rRNA from 1 species
AACCUCCGCAAUGUGAGAAAUCGCGACGGGGGGAUCCCAAGUGCCAUUCUUAACGGGAUGGCUUUUCAUUAGUGUAAAGAGCUUUUGGAAUAAGGGCUGGGCAAGACCGGUGCCAGCCGCCGCGGUAACACCGGCAGCUCUAGUGGUAGCAGUUUUUAUUGGGCCUAAAGCGUCCGUAGCCGGUUUAAUAAGUCUCUGGUGAAAUCCUGUAGCUUAACUGUGGGAAUAGCUGGAGAUACUAUUAGACUUGAGACCGGGAGAGGUUAGAGGUACUCCCAGGGUAGAGGUGAAAUUCUGUAAUCCUGGGAGGACCGCCUGUUGCGAAGGCGUCUAACUGGAACGGUUCUGACGGUGAGGGACGAAAGUUAGGGGCGCGAACCGGAUUAGAUACCCGGGUAGUCCUAACUGUAAACGAUGCGGACUUGGUGUUGGGGUGGCUUUGAGCUGCUCUAGUGCCGAAGGGAAGCUGUUAAGUCCGCCGCCUGGGAAGUACGGUCGCAAGACUGAAACUUAAAGGAAUU